rnacentral:lncRNA from 1 species
AAAACAUUCACUAGUGGUGCUAGACUGCCAUUGUAAAGAUAAAUAUGUGAUUGAUGGAAACUUUGGGCUGUAUUGGCAUUUAAUGAAAAACAUCAUGGUUUCCAUUUAACUUCAGCUAGUUGAAAAUAACAGGGUUUAUUUAUUGUCUCCCUUUCAAAGCUAAACCCAUUACUUGCUUUCUGAAGCUCCUACCUCUGCAGUCCAACUAUACUGAGUUCAGCUUUCCCCAUGAUUCAAUACACAAUGACUGAGAGGCAGGGAAUACAACGACAAGCUCUAGGACAGCCUGGUGUUCAUGAGGCCACUUGUCUGUCAGCCCACAGCUGUGAUAAAUCACACCCGUACCAAACUCAGCAUGCAGUUGCUGACAUACAGUUGCUAACACCAGCUGAAAUUCUACAAUUGCCCCAACACACAUUUCAGCCUUAAUGAGUUUACCCUUGGCUGAUAACAAGCAAUGUAAAGCCCAUCCUUGCCCUCCAGGACCAUUAUGUUAUUUCUGUCCUCCGCACAGAGACCUCCUCAUGUAUCUGAAGAUUAAUGUUUAAUUCAGUCGUUUGCUACCAUCUUCAGCAGAUCUUGUAGAUGGCAUUUUUUGGGCAACCCUUAAUGUUUCCAUUGCUCCCUUCUGAAGCGUGCCACUUGCAGCACAUAAGCUUGAUGUGCAGUGAACAGUGUGUGAGGUAAUAUCUUAGCAAGAAGAAAAGAAGAAUUGAAGGACAUUCUCCUUCUAGAUUUCAGGUUUUCCAUCACAUGCUGUACACACAUUGUUUUUGCAAAAGGCACAAGAGGCAGACAAUAGGGGAUGGUUUAUGCCCUCCCAGAUAGCACUGGGUUCUGCCCAGCAUCACCUUAACUCCAGCUGUUCCCAUCCCUGAAGAAGGAAAAAAGAGAAAAACAAAGGAAAAAAAACAAACACCCACAACAUGACAUUGAAGCUUGGCAUGUAAGAAUGUCUUCCCUCAAACCUCCAGCUGUACUCUUGCUAACACAGCAUGUGGUAACCAACCUUUCUUUGCUGCAGGGGAGCAGCACUAUGACUCAGGGUGCCCACCAGGACCCUCAGCCCAGAGACACGGUCUCUGUUCCAGCCAUGUCCUUUGGGAGAAGGGAGCCUGCACUUGGAAGUGUUGUGAGAUUUUGGAGGCACUUUGUAUGCACUCAAGAGGAAUUAGGGUGGUCUAACUUGCUUAUGACCACUCCCAGUGGGAGGAGCAGAGCUGGAGUUAAGGUGCAGCAGAGGGCACUGCCAAUUGCUUCUGCCUUUUGAAGGCCGAGAUUUAAGAGUUUGUUGCUGUUUGGAAAUUGUACAUAUGUUUCAUUUCCUAAAAUGAUGCCAUUCAUUUUUAAUAGCAACAGUAAUAUAACGAACCUUUGUAUACAUAUCUAUUAAUUAACAUUAGAAUUGCAAUGUAGAGACUAUGUAAGUCUGAGGACCUGUUUUCCUCAGCUGUAACCGCACAGCAAUUUGUUAGCUCACAAGCAGCUUGUGAGGCUUUAUUGAAAUAAUGGUAAUAAGAGAUUCUCAUAUGCAGUCCACUCCCAGUAGUGUCAAUGAGUGCAGCUUGGGGUAAAGGCUGUUUGGGCACUGGAAAAUGUAUCACUUUGCACUUGGAGUUUUUCCAUCGCUUUAUCCCUUGGUGAAAGUUAUAAGGACAAAGGGAUGAUGGAGGACAUUUGUGAAGUUGCAGUCUUCUGUCUCGCUGGGUUUAGUGGCAAACUCACAGUUAGAAAUACAGAGGAGCUUGGGGUUUAUUUUAAUUUUUCUCUGAAAGGUUUAUAACAUAAAGGAUUUUCAUUAAUCAAAAUGAUUUAUUAGGUUUCUAGUUUCUCCGGUUGCUACAUCAUUGCUCAGACAACAGACUUAAAUUGCAAUUCUCAUUUCCCAGGGAAUGUAUUUAAAGCACAAAAUGUCAUGUAUUUUUUCUUAGUGACUGUUAAGCAAAACUUUUGCAUACCGAAAAACCUAUGUGAUUUCAUCUUGGCUAUUCCUCUGUGAGAAAUAACCACAAAAUAAAAAUAACAGUGCAGAAGGACA